UAAUAUUGUUCUCUCCUCCUAUAUGUUGUAUUGUAUGCAGGCUCGCAGAAAGGGCUUUGUUUAUGUUCAGUAAUAUUGUUCUCUCCUCCUAUAUGUUGUAUUGUAUGCAGGCUCGCAGAAAGGGCUUUGUUUAUGUUCAGCCUUUUGAUUUGGCGUUUCUGUUUAACGUUGCUUGUGGCAUUGAAUUUAUAUAGACAUGUCAUGCUGCUUCCUAUUCAAGAUACUGAAGGGCCUUUUUUGUGCCUCUCCUUCAGUGGAGUGUUCUCCGCAUAGACAACAGAAGGGUACAGGAGGUAAACAGGAAGUGAACUGUGUGUGUGGUGUGUGAUGUCCCUUCUCACAACAGUCAGCAGUUUCAAGUGCAUCAUUACAUUGGUGUGACCGUGACAGAUAAGGUACAACAUCCAUCCUAUCCGUUUCAUCGGUUUAAAAAAAGAUGCCCCCCCCACACUUUUGAGAUGAAGUUGGAAGAUGAUCUCAUUUAAACUGAAUUGGGGAGAAACUGAGAGCAAUACGCUAUUUAUUAACUACUUGCAUAAGAGUGAGUGUAACUGCUUGCAUAUUUUAAGCAAUUUUUAAAGUUGUACAACUUUUUGAGUAAACAAUUUCAGUGCUUCUUAUAAAUUUAAAAAAUGAAACACCAUACUGACAAUUUGGAUGACAUUUUAGAAUCAGUAACAAAAUCUUUUAGCCAUAUAUACACACUGUGUGUACACAAUGAACAGGAUUCAAUACAAAGUUAAUUAACAAAUCUUACACUUUAUAAUGUAAUUUCAUUAGUGCUAAUGUUCCCCUGUCUAAAAUGUCAACCAAAUUUCGCAAAUGCAUCUGAUGUUUACAAGCAAUCCUGUAGAAAUAUGUUGUUAUUACUGUAAACAGUAUAAUCUCCAGGUCUACAUACUGUAGCUAUAUAGUGUUUCACAUCUAAUUCACAAGUCUACAUCUCUACAUGGCUCUGUAGUGUUUUCACAUCUAAUUCACAGGUCUACAUCUCUACAUGGCUCUGUAGUGUUUUCACAUCUAAUUCACAGGUCUACAUCUCUACAUGGCUCUGUAGUGUUUUCACAUCUAAUUCACAAGUCUACAUCUCUAUAUGGCUCUGUAGUGUUUUCACAUCUGAUUCACAAGUCUACAUGGCUCUGUAGUGUUUUCACAUCUAAUUCACAGGUCUACAUCUCUACAUGGCUCUGUAGUGUUUUCACAUCUAAUUCACAGGUCUACAUCUCUACAUGGCUCUGUAGUGUUUUCACAUCUAAUUCACAAGUCUACAUCUCUACAUGGCUCUGUAGUGUUUUCACAUCUAAUUCACAGGUCUACAUCUCUACAUGGCUCUGUAGUGUUUUCACAUCUAAUUCACAAGUCUACAUCUCUAUAUGGCUCUGUAGUGUUUUCACAUCUGAUUCACAAGUCUACAUGGCUCUGUAGUGUUUUCACAUCUAAUUCACAAGUCUACAUCUCUACAUGGCUCUGUAGUGUUUUCACAUCUAAUUCACAGGUCUACAUCUCUACAUGGCUCUGUAGUGUUUUCACAUCUAAUUCACAAGUCUACAUCUCUACAUGGCU
ensembl:lncRNA